CCCAAACCCUAGCCGCCACUUCCCACCACCUCCUCUCCUUCCCUCGCUCUGCUAUCUCCAUGCCCAGGCCCGCCUCGCCUCCUCACGCGAGCCACCGCUGUCGCCGCACCAUCAUACUGUCGUCGCCAUCCUCCUCUCGCUCCGGUCGAUGCAUCCGCCAACGAGGAGGCCGGGACCGUCGGAUCCGGUGACCCCGGCCUCAUUGUCGGUGGAUCCGGCCGCCCGGAGGCGAGGGGAGACCGGCUAUCACCCUCUCUACUCUUCUCCUUCUACGUCCGGCACCGCUACAACGACGGCCGCGCGGAUCGCGUGAGGCAACGGGUGGCUGCUCCCUUCUCUUCUCCCUUCUAUCUCCACUAUUCCUUUGCAGAUCGGCGGAGGCCUGCAACAACAACGGCCGCGCGGGCGAGCAAUCGAGGAGGCCGGGAAUCACCAGAUCCGGAAGGACGGCGGCCCGAUUCGGAGAGGGAGCAACCCGAUCUGUGUCAUUGAGGCUCAUUGUAAGUGUCGACGGCGGCCGUUCCUUCACAGUGAUCCAGGGUCGUUGGGUCUGUUGAGCUCGGUAUCGACGGCAGCAGUAGCUCGGGCAAGAUGGAAGAAACGUGUUAGACACGGCCUCCUCCGAGAGCAUACACCAGCGACGUGCAGGAGGCCGAGGCCAAAGCCGAUCUUCCCCAACCCCAUCUGGCAUUAUAACUUGUAAGUUUUUGUUCUUUUUGGUGUUCUUGGUAGACCAAUGAAAAUGGUGAUGGUCUAUCGUGCAAAUUGAUGAAGGUAGGGAUGAUAUGAUGUGUAUAUUGAGUAUGAAUGCAUAUGCACUUUUGCGUGUGUAGAUGUAAUACAUGUUCUUGAGCACUUUACAGGUUUUGUGGUGGUGUUUAUUACUGACUGACAAAAAUCUGAGAUGCAUGUUCAGUUAUUUACAGUGAUACACAUGAAUGCGGAUAGAUAGAAUGCUAUUGUUUUUCUCUUCUAUGAGACCUCUUAAGUACUAAUCUAUUGAAUUGUUUGAUACUAUAUCAUAUUGCAUAUGUAUUCAUCUAUUUUGAUUCAAAGAUAUACGAGAUCCCAACAACGCAUCCACUAUCGACCAGGUACAAAAGCUUGAUUUGUUGAAUGCUUGCUUCCAGCAAUGUAUCAUGCUCUCUAUUUCCAUUGGUGAUGUGUAGGGAUUGGGAGCAGAUUCAUUCGCAGGUCAGCAAGCUAGCUGAAAAUUAGGUGAGAGGCGACAGUUGGUAGCGAGAAGGUCAGCCUGAUGGUGCAGAACUCUGGCUUGAGGAAGACAUGCUUCAGUGUUUCUCCAUGCACCGACAACACUAUCAUCCUGCCACCACAACACACAAAUCUGGCGAUGCUUCCACCUGCAUCUGCAUGCCCCUGGCUCCCUGCAUACAAGAAAAAAGAGUAUUCUUUUCCUGUCUCGGUAAUGCACUUGGCUAAGAAAGUUGGUGGGCAGUAAGCUGCUCAUGCUUCUUGAUCACCAAGUUGCUCAUGCUCCUUGAUCAGAACAUAAAUGGUUAAUUAAAGAUGCACAUGAGAAAGGCUCGAUUAUGCCUGGUGUUAUGGUGCUGAAUUGCUGAUCAAAAAAACCGGUGGUAAUGUUGUACCAUUUUGGUAUUGGUUGAUAUUUCACAAAGGUUGCAGGCCUCUUGCUAUUGACAGAUGAGUGAGCAAACAUGGAUGGUGAUGGUAUUCUGACAUCUCAAUGUGAACCAGUCAACCAGUACAGAGUUGAUCGCUAAUCCAUGUCAUGGACUCUAAAAGCAAAUGGUAAGCUUGGUGUGAUGCUUGCUUUGGUAGAUGGAGCUGAGUUCUUCAGUAAUAGAUGUGUUCAUGGCCUUCAGGAUUUUAUGGCAGGAAAGCUCCCAUAAGCUUCUUGGGCGGUGCCUACUUGAAUGACUGGGAGAACCAUCUAACAACAAUAUUUCAUUAGGUUAGACUGCAGCAGUAAUGAAAGGUGCUGAUGAUGGAUCAUUUAGGAUAUUGUGUGCUUUGCCAGCGUUUCAGGUCCGGAUGCGGCAUCCACGUGGGCAGGCCGUUACCAUGAAGAUCAUGCCAUCGGAUUAGUUGUCCAUGUGCAUAGAUCAAAGAAAAAAAGAAGGUACAGAUGGCAAGUAUAUACUGAAGAUCUAUAUCUGUGGCCUACUACAGCUCAACUGUUGUAAACAAUACCUGUGAUGCAUCGUUCUUCCAAAGUUUCAUAGAUGGCCUUUGCAUUAAAUAGUAUAUCCAUAUCUUUUUUUAGUGAAUAGUACUUGCAAUUUUGAGUGUGUGCUUUCCAUCUCAUAAGGUUUCCAUGUUUCAUAAUGUCCUCUUGAGUUUAAUUUGAGUUUUCAACUAUUGGAGGAACUAUAAAUAGCACUAGCUAAAUAUGUUGCACACGUGAUUCAUGUAUUCAGCUCCUUUACUACCAUAUAUAAGUUUUUGGCACAUUGGAUCUAUGAUUUUGCCACAGCAGGGUUAAAAUCAAAUUGCUCUGAGAGAAUUGGACCUUGGAUUUGGAUAUCCAUCCAGCCAGGUCAAUAGUAUGUGACUCUUAGGCUCCAAAAAAUAAUUGGCGGUGAUAGAACUUAGAUUAUGUCAAAAAAUGACGAACUUGUACAUUUUUAAUUUUUCACUGUAAGUAGUUGAAGGUGUUUUCUAUUUUUUUUCUUCGCUUCAUCAUUCAAAAGGUGUAAUUUCUUCAGUAUUACCAUGUUUUUUUUAGGGUUCGCUAUUACCAUGUUGACAUGAGUACUUUGUAACAUGGCAAGUUGAGAGUUGAAUUUCACAAUUGAGAGUUGCUUACAUUUGUAAUAGUUUUAGUAAUUUUGGAAUGAACGUGCAGCUUGGAAUGUAUAAUGUUUUUUGGUUUGAAAUGCCAAAUAUAUAUGUAUAUUGGUUUAUUAAAAAAACUUCAAUUCCAUUUGCACACUCUAGAUAUUUGCGACGCUUCAGUUAUGUAUAAUUUUAGCCUUGCGCGAAUCUUUUUGAUAGAUUGCUGGAGCUAAAGCACAAGCUUUACCCUUUUUUUCGAAUAAGCUAGAAAUAGCGUAAAAAGGUUAGUGUUAGAGGUUUACAUAUGUUUUGACUUGUUAUUCUUGUAGAAUUGAUAGUCUUCUACCAUAAUGCAAAUUCUUGUAGUUGCGUGUCUUUUUUCAUGAUUUAACCUGCUACACGAACGUAUCAAUGAAAAACUCACAUCUUCUGAUGCCACUGGCGCGGCGCUCAAAGCACGCGUUCACCUCUAGUUAUAUAUAAUUUUGAGAUACCGGUCACCACCGACGCCGUCUUCACCACAGGUACUGCUUCAUUUCUUCUGCUCCCUCCUUCCUCUUCUCUUUUUUAUUCUGAACUUUAUACAAUCUUUCAUGUGGUAGCUAGGUCUUUUAUCUAUACUUUCCCUGCAUCUUAUUGUUCUUGUUCUGAACUAAUAUAUCUGGAUUGGUGAGAGGUGAAUGGUGUCCAGUUGUUUUCAAGGAUUUUUUUUUUGAGUCCCACUCCGGUGCUUCUACUUGUAGUAGAGAGUAAUCUACACCGUUGAUUGUAUUUGAUUGAAUGGUUGAGAUUUAGGGCCUGUUUGGUACAACUCCAACUCCUAAAUUUAACUCCAGGAGUUGGGUCUGGAGUGGAGUUGUGGAGCUGCCUAAACCCAGCUCCACAACUCUAGUUCAUUUUGUGAGAGAGCUCCACCUAGCUCCACUCCCAGUUUUGGUGGAGCUGAAAUUGUUUGGCUGAGCUCCAACUCCAGGAGGGGUGGAGCUGGAGCUGUGCCAAACAGGCCCUUACUUCUACUUCAACACACCUAAUGGGAGUAAAAAUGUGGAGGGAUAAUUUUGUCCAUGAAAAAUGUUGUGCGGAGUGGUAAAAUGGUAAUUUUCCAAUUGCUAACCCUAGCAGGGUCGAAAUGGAUUGGCCUCGCGCCCGUCAUCCUCCCUCGUCGCCUCAGCCGCCGCCCCCCUUCUCGCUGCCUCCACCACCCUCCGCCGCCUCCAACGCCUGCCCCGCCCUCCCCGACUCUGCGCCCGUCCCCCUCUCUCGCCGCCUCCGUCGCCUACCUCGUCGCCUCCACGCCCGUCCCCUUCUCUCGCCGUCUCCAUGGUCAUGCGGGUGUUCCGACCAGAGCCCAUCGAUGAGACACCGGAGCAUGCCCGCGUUCUCACCGCCGCAAACUCGCCCAACAGCAUCAGACUGUUGCUGUUGCCUGUUGUCGGUCUGGUGGUGCAGAGCUUGAUUUUUGGGGGGAUGGGGCUCCAUGAGCCUGCUAUGAGUGAAGCCAUCGUCCAAUGAUCUCUAAUGAAUUUUCAUUAGUAUUCCCCACAAAAAAUUGAGGUGUUUGUUCCGUCAGUGUCCUACCUAGAUAGUGUUUGUUGUUUUCCAUACACGCAUGGGGAUGUGGCUCCGCUAUAUCAGUUACGCCAGCAUGACCUUUUGGUGUGUAUGCCUGAACAGUUUGUGGGGCUUCGGAUUUGGAUCCUAGCUUGCACUUAAUUUGCUUUUAAACAUUUGACCCCCACCUAAAUGUGAGCAGAUAGAUAUCCAUAAUCGAAUGGAAGAGUUAAAAUUAGUAAAGAAAUUUAGUAUUGAAAGUAUUCGUUUUUAUUUAGCUCUGUGGAUGCAUCCAAUCCAUAUAUAUUAUGAUUGCCGGCAACUGCUUUUUGGCUA